UAGACAAGAGGGGUUGCUCUGAUGGUAAGCAACCCCCACUUCCAACUGAGAGGUUGUGAGUUCGAGUCUCCCCAAGAGCAAGGUGGGAAGUUCUUGGAGUGAAGGAUGCCGGGGGUAUAUUUGAAAACAACCUCUCUACCCAAGGGUAGGGGUAAGGUCUGCGUACACACUACUCUCCCCAGACCCCACUAAGUGGGAUUAUACUGGGUUGUUAUUGUUGU
rnacentral:lncRNA from 1 species